rnacentral:rRNA from 1 species
CGGGUGAGUAACACGUGGAUAACCUACCUAUAAGACUGGGAUAACUUCGGGAAACCGGAGCUAAUACCGGAUAAUAUUUUGAACCGCAUGGUUCAAAUGUAAAAGACGGUCUUGCUGUCACUUAUAGAUGGAUCCGCGCUGCAUUAGCUAGUUGGUAAGGUAACGGCUUACCAAGGCAACGAUGCAUAGCCGACCUGAGAGGGUGAUCGGCCACACUGGAACUGAGACACGGUCCAG